GAAGUUGCUUCCACGAGAGAGAAGACGAAGCACUUUGACGUUUCACCCUCUCCGUUCUAAUAUAUAAACCUUCGAUCAUGUUCGAUCCAAUUCGUCUCGUGAAUGCAGCGACAAGACAAUGCUCAAGUGACGGAACCCUCUCCGUUUUCAAGUUUCGGGUUGCUGUAACCAUCAUGGCCUAAGUUCCUUCGCAUAAGGGGCAUUUGAAGGACAGCAGUGGCCCACCCCCUGUUCCGGCAUCGCUUUCGGGACAGUUCGAGAAGGGCCUUAACUUUAGGUCGCCUAGAACUAAUGCUCAUCAGAGCGGGAAGAUCGUCUAUGCAAACACAGCGAUCCCAUGGGGAAGUUACUGAAGAAACUGUCCUGAAGUUGAAAGGCAUAACUGCUGAAUUGCAUGGACAGAGUCUGGGAACUGAUUUAAUCUCUGAUAUGCUAAAAGAUGCAGUAAAGAUGAUGUGGGAGCACUUCUUAUAUUGUGGAAAUACGGCCAUUUGAAUUGGCCUCUCUUUAUCAGUGUGUGUGUGAGAGAGAGAGAGAGAGAGAGAGAGAGAAUGUGAACAAAACUCAUGGUGAUUGUGUGAGCUUGUCUUGUGAGAAUGUACGAAUUCCUAACUUAGAAUGUAUAUAAGGUCUCCAAAACAUGGGCCUCAUUCUCAUUUUACGCCUUGUGGGAAUGAAUUUGAUAUAUGGCUCUGGCUUUAUGUGUCCUCUAGCAACUUGCUAAAAAAUGAGACUUUUUAAUUUUGGAGAUUUGAUGACCUGUAUGUUGAUGCUUAGUAGACA